rnacentral:rRNA from 1 species
CUAGAAAGAUCGCUGGCGGCGUGCCUAACACAUGCAAGUCACACGAGAAAGUGGAGCAAUCCAUGAGUAAAGUGGCGCACGGGUGAGUAACACGUGAAUCAUCUACCUCCGAGUGGGGAAUAACCUAGAGAAAUCUGGGCUAAUACCGCAUAACACUUACGAGUCAAAGCAGCAAUGCGCUUGGAGAGGAGUUCGCGGCCGAUUAGCUAGUUGGCGGGGUAAUGGCCCACCAAGGCGAUGAUCGGUAUCCGGCCUGAGAGGGCGCACGGACACACUGGAACUGAAACACGGUCCAGACUCCUACGGGAGGCAGCAGUGGGGAAUUUUGCGCAAUGGGGGAAACCCUGACGCAGCAACGCCGCGUGGAGGAUGAAAUCCCUUGGGAUGUAAACUCCUUUCGAUAGGGAAGAUUAUGACGGUACCUAUAGAAGAAGCCCCGGCUAACUUCGUGCCAGCAGCCGCGGUAAUACGAGGGGGGCGAGCGUUGUUCGGAAUUAUUGGGCGUAAAGGGCGCGUAGGCGGUUUGGCAAGUCUUAUGUGAAAUCUAUGGGCUCAACCCAUAGUCUGCAUGAGAAACUGCCGGGCUUGAGUAUGGGAGAGGUGAGUGGAAUUUCCGGUGUAGCGGUGAAAUGCGUAGAUAUCGGAAGGAACACCUGUGGCGAAAGCGGCUCACUGGACCAUAACUGACGCUGAGGCACGAAAGCCAGGGGAGCAAACAGGAUUAGAUACCCUGGUAGUCCUAGCCCUAAACGAUGAUUGCUUGAUGUGGCAGGUACCCAAUCCUGCCGUGUCGAAGCUAACGCGAUAAGCAAUCCGCCUGGGGAGUACGGUCGCAAGGCUGAA